AGUUCGAUUAUGGCUCAGAUUGAACGCUGGCGGGAUGCUUUACACAUGUGCAAGUCGAACGGCAGCACGGACUUCGGUCUGGUGGCGAGUGGCGAACGGGUGAGUAAUGUAUCGGAACGUGCCUAGUAGCGGGGGAUAACUACGCGAAAGGUAGCUAAUACCGCAUACGCCCUUCGGGGAAAGCGGGGACCUUUCGGGCCUCGCACUAUUAGAGCGGCCGAUAUCGGAUUAGCUAGUUGGUGGGGUAACGGCUCACCAAGGCGACGAUCCGUAGCUGGUUUGAGAGGACGACCAGCCACACUGGGACUGAGACACGGCCCAGACUCCUACGGAGGCAGCAGUGGGAAUUUUGACAAUGGGGAAACCUGAUCCAGCCAUCCCGCGUGUGCGAUGAAGGCCUUCGGGUUGUAAAGCACUUUUGGCAGGAAAGAAACGGCACGGGAUAAUACCCCGUGCAACUGACGGUACCUGCAGAAUAAGCACCGGCUAACUACGCCAGCAGCCGCGUAAUACGUAGGGUGCAAGCGUUAAUCGGAAUUAUCAGCGUAAAGCGUGCGCAGGUAGUUCGGAAAGAAAAAAGAUGUGAAAUCCCAGAGCUUAAUCUUUGGAACUGCAUUUUUAACUACCGAGCUAGGGUGUGUCAGGAGGGAGGUGGAAUUCCGCGUGUAGCAGUGAAAUGCGUAGAUAUGCGGAGGAACACCGAUGGCGAAGGCAGCCUCCUGGGAUAACACUGACGCUCAUGCACGAAAGCGUGGGGAGCAAACAGAUUGGAGCCCUGGUAGUCCACGCCCUAAACGAUGUCAACUAGCUGUUGGGGCCUUCGCCUUGGUAGCGCAGCUAACGCGAAGUUGACCGCCCGGGGAGUACGGUCGCAAGAUUAAAACUCAAAGGGAAUUGACGGGGACCCGCACAAGCGGUGGAUGAUGUGGAUUAAUUCGAUGCAACGCGAAAACCUUACCUACCCUUGACAUGUCUGGAAUCCCGAAGAGAUUUGGGAGUGCUCGCAAGAGAACCGGAACACAGGUGCUGCAUGGCUGUCGUCAGCUCGUGUCGUGAGAUGUUGGGUUAAGUCCCGCAACGAGCGCAACCCUUGUCAUUAGUUGCUACGAAAGGGCACUUCAUCGACUGCUGGUGACAAACUGGAGGAAGGUGGGGAUGACGUCAAGUCCUCAUGGCCCUUAUGGGUAGGGCUUCACACGUCAUACAAUGGUCGGGACAGAGGGUCGCCAACCCGCGAGGGGGAGCCAAUCCCAGAAACCCGAUCGUAGUCCGGAUCGCAGUCUGCAACUCGACUGCGUGAAGUCGGAAUCGCUAGUAAUCGCGGAUCAGCAUGUCGCGGUGAAUACGUUCCCGGGUCUUGUACACACCGCCCGUCACACCAUGGGAGUGGGUUUUACCAGAAGUAGUUAGCCUAACCGUAAGGAGAGGGCGAUUACCACGGUAGGAUUCAUGACUGGGGUGAAGUCGUAACAAGGUAG
rnacentral:rRNA from 1 species